UGCGUAAGGCGGUUUACUAAGUCAGAUGUGAAAGCCCCGGGCUUAACCUGGGAACUGCAUUUGAUACUGGUAGGCUAGAGUAUGAUAGAGGGGGGUAGAAUUCCUGGUGUAGCGGUGAAAUGCGUAGAUAUCAGGAGGAAUACCAGUGGCGAAGGCGGCCCCCUGGAUCAAUACUGACGCUGAGGUACGAAAGCGUGGGUAGCGAACA
rnacentral:rRNA from 1 species